rnacentral:tRNA from 1 species
GCGCGAGUGGCGGAAUUGGCAGACGCGCUGGAUUUAGGUUCCAGUGUCUACGGACGUGCAGGUUCAAGUCCUGUCUCGCGCA